AAAAUUAUUGGCUCUUACAAAUCGAAACCUCCACGAUUCCAGUCUCGAUCGAUACGUACUUUGACGUCAAGAUCAGCCUUGGUCUCUCUCCGUUCAUGGUGUAGUGUGUGUCCUCUUCUUUCUCGUAGUAAGCUACCUUUCUCAUCACGUCUUUCAAUCCAAUCUGCUUGCUGGUGGCUCGGCUCUGUUGCGUUUGUUUGGUUGGUGAUUUCACUCUCUGAUCAUGUCUUUUACGCUCUGAUUCUUAUUGCUUGUCAUUGUGGACAGUCCCAGGAUCACGAUAAACACUAUUUAUCAAAGGACCAGGUGCUCGAUAAACCUUUGUCUGCGUUUUCUCUUUUCAGUUUGGAUCAACCCUAUGUUUGUCCAUAAUCUCGUUGCACGGUUGAGAAGCGAGAUAUGUUUAUAUCUUUCUACGAUCCUCCGUAUGCUCUCAUCAAUGGCAAAUUAUAAGGGAAAGGAAUCAUCACUGAUGAUAAUGAACCGAUCAACUGCAUGAUCAAGCGGAUGAUAAGCGUGAUUUGGGAAUAUGGAUUGUCUCUAAUUGGAAAAGUAUUGAAUCCAAAAAAGCAGAGUUGAAAAACUCAUUGGUUUUAUGUCUUACACAUUAAUGCAUGAUAUGACUUGGUUGGACUAGUGAUGGGUUUGCGGAUCAACCAGCCCCUGCGGUGGGCUGGUCGAAUCAUUUUUUUAUUCAAAAAUAUGAUCCACAUAAUGCACAAACCAAUACACUUUUAAUUGUCCAGCCAAAAUAUUAAUUAUAUUGAAAGUAAUCAUUUUUCAAAAUAAUAUUAGAACUAUAUAUCUAUGAUUAAAAUUAUAUAGAUAUUUUAUAUAUUUUUCUGAAAAAAAUUCUUUAAAAAAAAAUCUUUCUUGAAAAAAUUUGUGAGUAUUCAAAUUCGGCUGAUCAUCUUUCUUAAAAUAAGUUCAAUCUGCACCCGCAAUUUAAAUUGUUCAAGCUGCCCGACCAACAUCUGCCCUGCAACAGGUCAAAGGGAGCAGGACCCACGGAUUUUGAGUAAAACUCUCAGUUCUAGGUUGGAGUAAAAAUUUUAGAGAAAAUUGGACUAAUAUACCUAAAUCGAUGUGAAAUUAAGAAAGUACCCGAAAGCAAAAAGAACCCUUCAUAACUGUAGAUAGUUGCGUCUCCCAUCCCCCUUUUACCCCUAUAGUCUGGACACGUAAGGCACGUAUGUUUUGAUUCGGUGUAAUCUGCACAAGUACAAUCCUAGAUUUAUAUAUUGCCUUUUACUCCACUUACUAAAUAGGUGACUAGCUUUCUACUAGGUAUGUGUCAUUAUCUGUUCUUAAUAGUAAGUGAUUCUCAACCACAAAAAUCUAUUUGUUUAAUAAUUUAGUCUUCAUCAUCUCUUUUCCAUUAUCUAUCCUCACCAUCUUGUUUUUCUUGCUCACCUUUUCAGUAACAUAUUUAUCAUCUAUCUUUUCUUUUUGUAUUGGCAAUUCUUCUCAAAUAAUCUUUUUUUUUACUAUUUUCAUAGAAAGUUAACUAUAUAUCCUCGUCAUCAUGCACCGUCUAUCCUCGUCGUAGAGUUUCAGUAGAAGUCCUGUCGGAUUGGAAAAGACGAUCAUUUAUAUUUUGUGAUUUCAAUGGAGCUUAAGAGAUUCAUGUACAUCUUGUGAACCAAUGUAUUCAUCACACGAUCGAAAACAACAAAGUUACCUGUUAUAAUAUUCCGUAUGUAUAAUUAACAUGUUAUCUGUUACAUUAUAUUUUAUCGUUGACAUUGUUCAUACUUAUCGCAUGAUCGUAAUUGUUAAUUAGAUCAAUAGUGGCUACAGUUUUUACGUAUAUGUGUUGAUGACGAAUUUGUCACUGGUCUAUAAUUAAAGUUAAAUGUCAGUAAUUUCUUCUCAAGGGCAUGACAAAGGAUGAACCCAAUUUCGUUACACUUAUGACAUUAACGGCUAACAAUCGUCUUAACUGUUAAAUCAAAUAUUAGUGGUUAUGCAUUACUAUACAUCCGAUGAAACUAGAGAGGCUAGAGAAGUGUGAGAGUUAGUGAUUGUAUACAAAGCAUAUAACCUCUAAGUGUGUUAGUAAAUAUAUUGUUAGUUGUUAAGUAUUAAUAUUAUAUGCUAAUAAUAUAAUGUAAAUCGAGUCUUUUAUUUUAGAUGAGCAUGAAUUAGUAUCUUCUUACACAUAGAUAAAACAAGUAACUAAGAAAAUGUUAGCUAACAUAAAUGUUAUCAAGAUGCCUCCAAGUUAACCACCACCUUUGGGACCAACGAAAGCCAAGCGAUGUGUUUGAUGUUCUUAUUUGUUUCUAUGAUGGCGUGACUCCCACCUUCUUCUCAUAUUUGUCAUCUUUGACGAACAUCAUACUGGUCAUCUAAACACAUAGAAUUGACAAAUAGAUGGUGGCUAAGAAUUAUAUGUAAGAUGGAAAAUAAAAUGUUAAUUAUCACAACUAGGAGACAAGAAUUUGAAGUAUCCUUAUAACGUCUUCGUCCUUUCCUAUAGUUCUUCAUACAUGCACCAUAUUUUGAAGCCACUGACCAAAUAUGUGUGAACUAAAAGUCACAUAAAAUGUAACAUCUAACAAAACAUAUAUUAGUUAACUUUAACAUUUUUAGAGUAGCAACAAACAAUACAUCAACUAACAACACCUAUUUAAUAAAAUCUUAACAACCAGUUAUUCAUUAGCCGCAACAUAUUUUGUAACAUCUAACUUAACAUGUAGAUGCUAAUGGCAGCACAUGAUGCCUAUUUAUAGCAACUAUCCAAACAUGUGUAAGCACAUGGUACAUGUUUGUAGCUUCGAACAGUUACGCUAACUUAUUUUGUAGAAACUAACUAAAUAUGUAUUAGUUAACAUUAUAUAUUUUGUGGGUUCUAAUCAGAAAAGAAAAUGUAACGACUAAGUAUGUCCAAAACUGCUAACUCGUAUGUUAUCUUUAAUGAACUUUUAAUGGUGAUUUGCCACACAUCGUUUGGAAUCAAGAUGACAGAGCUUGAAAUCAAUGUCUACAUGGUACUUACAUGUUAACAAGAGGAAGAGCCACAUCGUAAAAACAUAUGGAGAGAGAAUUUAACCUUUGAAGAAGAAUUCAUCGGGUGGAUUCUUCCUGCAAUUAAUUCCCCCCCCCCCCCCCCAAUAUGGCUUCUCCGUGAUGAGGUUCUUCUUCCUUCUGAUGUUUUUCUUCAUAAUCUUGCUGCAAUUAAGGCCUGCAACUUGCGCGAAAUCAUGCAAUGACAUCCUGAGGGGCCUCCCAGCGACGAGAAAGCAAAUCUCGAACUUUUUUUAAAACUCAUAGGAUUCGGAGAGAUUUUUCAGUGGUGUUGUGGACUAGCUUGAAUAUGCAAAACAACAUUGUAGAGAUUUUUCUCGCACCACCACGGACUGGCCGUAGCUUCCGGAAAAUGAAACUUCAUUUUCCCUUCCCAUCAUUAAAUUUUUAAUAUUUAAAAUAAAUUAAAGAGGUUUUGAAACCUUUCAAGACAUUUUGUGUAAAUAGGAUGGUCUAGUAAUAUCUUCUGACACCAUAGACAGCGUAGACAUAGGAUAAACGUGUUAAGGCGUAGGGGUGUAAUGGUAUUAAAAUAAAAUGGAGCAGUAACAUGGCAUUUGCCUAAUUUCGGAGAUUUUCAUGUAUAUACGUCCUAAUUUCUCAAAUUUUUAUUUUAAAUGAUGUAGCUAUAUCUAAAUAACUGUAGAAAUUAAAUGAAGAAUAAAAAAUAUUCCUAGAACAGUGUUUUUGCAUAAGAAAACAAGACUACUAGAAAAAUCUCUUUAUUUUUUUAACUUUAACUUUAAAAACUACAUAAAUCUUAUAUUGAUAAUUUAUAUCAUUGUAGAUAUAAAUUAAAGUAAAGUCACUUAUUACAUCCUAUUCCUAACCAAUCGUCCCGAAUGAUUUUGUGCUUUUCUUCCUGAAUGCUAUACAUAUUUCAACAUUCUUAUCUUCUUCUGUCCACUCUGUAUACUAGUAGUAGUUUUUUUCAUCUUAAAAUCUUGGACUCUGAAUCUUCAAGAAAAUUUAGAAAAAAAAAGAUUAGGACCUUCACUACAAGAAAACAUAUCAUAUUUUGAUCAUAUUUCUGACCAACAUAAAUGGUCAAAAGUAUUUAUGAUCUUUUUUUGACCAUUUGGUGAUGAAUAAAAAAAAAAUGGUCACCAAAUGGUUAGAAUUUUUUAACCAAACCAUAGUGUCAAAAAGUGGUUAGAAAAAUUUGACCACUUUUCCACCAACAAAAAUGGUCAAAAAUGGUCAAAAAUGUUUAUGACCUUAUUUUUACCAUUUUAUGAUGGAUAAGAAAAAUGGUCAUAAAAUGGUUAGAAUUUCUUAAUCAAAACAUAUAGUCAGAAAAUGGUCAAAAAAGUUUUAAUCACAUUUUAACCAUUUUGUGACGAUAUCUUUAAUUUAACCUAGAUCUCAAACAUGUUUUCUCAUUCUCAUCCUUUAGCUUCCUCGUCUGCCUCUUUUCAUUCUUUUAGUUAGACCUCCUUGGAAUACCUUUUCUAUUUCUUCUUUUUUGAUAUUUUCUUCUAUCUACUCCAUCCUCACGACCUCUCCUUCUUUCAUUGCAGGUUACGUUUGAGAAGAUUUAAUGUUGCUGCUAUCACUGUCCAUCUCAGCCUUGUUUCCACCAUUUUUCUUCUGUUCCUUGCAAGGUACGGAUUCAUUAAGGCCAUGGAGAAGGACAAGACUAAGAAGAUCAAAGGAGUCAAAAUAAUGGCGGAAAUGAUGAGUGCCCUCUAUAUGAUGAUGAUGGAAUUAAGAUUAAAUCAUUUCGGGUUUAGCUUUGUUAGUUAAGAUAUGUAUUCUUACGUUGCUAAAUUUCAAUUUUUUGUUUCAGAUAAAUUUUAUUCAAUUUCCAUUAAUUUUA